GGCAUAGCCAAGCGGUAAGGCAACAGACUUUGACUCUGUCAUCUCGUGGGUUCAAAUCCCGCUGCC
rnacentral:tRNA from 2 species